rnacentral:rRNA from 1 species
AAGACCUUGCGCUUUUGGAGCGGCCGAUGCCUGAUUAGCUUGUUGGUAAGGUAAAAGCUCACCAAGGCUUCGAUCAGUAGCUGGUCUGAGAAGACGACCAGCCACACUGGGACUGAGACACGGCCCAGACUCCUACGGGAGGCAGCAGUGGGGAAUUUUGGACAAUGGGGGCAACCCUGAUCCAGCCAUGCCGCGUGAGUGAAGAAGGCCUUCGGGUUGUAAAGCUCUUUCAGCCGGAACGAAACGGUUACGGUUAAUACCCGUGACUACUGACGGUACCGGAAGAAGAAGCACCGGCUAACUACGUGCCAGCAGCCGCGGUAAUACGUAGGGUGCGAGCGUUAAUCGGAAUUACUGGGCGUAAAGCGUGCGCAGGUGGUUUUGUAAGUCAGAUGUGAAAGCCCCGGGCUCAACCUGGGAACU